rnacentral:misc_RNA from 1 species
GAUGAAGAACGUAUCGAAAUGCGAUAAGUAAUGUGAAUUGCAGAAUUCAGUGAAUCAUCGAAUCUUUGAACGCGCAUUGCGCCCGCCAGUAUUCUGGCGGGCAUGCCUGUUCGAGCGUCAUUUCAACCAUCAAGCCCCCGGCUUGUGUUGGGGACCUGCGGCUGCCGCAGGCCCUGAAAAGCAGUGGCGGGCUCGCUGUCACACCGAGCGUAGUAGCAUACAUCUCGCUCUGGGCGUGCUGCGGGUUCCGGCCGUUAAACCACCUUCAUAACCCAAGGUUGACCUCGGAUCAGGUAGGAAGACCCGCUGAACUUAAGCAUAUCAAUAAGCGGAGGA